CAUGAGGGGAGGUUGAAAGUCGGUUUCGGCUGACACUUACAGAUGGACCCGCGGCGCAUUAGCUAGUUGGUGAGGUAACGGCUCACCAAGGCGACGAUGCGUAGCCGACCUGAGAGGGUGAUCGGCCACACUGGGACUGAGACACGGCCCAGACUCCUACGGGAGGCAGCAGUAGGGAAUCUUCCACAAUGGACGAAAGUCUGAUGGAGCAACGCCGCGUGAGCGAUGAAGGCCUUCGGGUCGUAAAGCUCUGUUGUCAGGGAAGAACAAGUAUCGGAGUAACUGCCGGUACCUUGACGGUACCUGACCAGAAAGCCACGGCUAACUACGUGCUAGCCGCCGCGGUAAUAC
rnacentral:rRNA from 1 species